rnacentral:lncRNA from 10 species
GGGUGUUUCUGGGAGUUGUGGUCCGCAGGGCUGCCUCGCUUCCGGGUGGGAGCUGCUGUUGCCGCGGUGGGAAGACGCAGAGCUUUCAGGCCAGCCCCGCGCGGCUCACGGCUUUUGUGGCUGGUGGCUGGUGGCUGCUGGUUGGGAGGCCCCGGAAGGACUUCUACUCCUCCGUAGGCUGGAGGGCACUAGGAGGUCGCAGGUGCUGAGCUGCCGGGGCCUUUGGGCUGUGCUGAAGGGGAAAAGCGCAGCCACUGUCGGGAGUGUGUGCUGUGGAGGCAGUUGCCGCGGUGAUGUUCGCUCCGCCUGGCCCCUGCCGGGGAUUCAGCCAACCAACCCUCAACAGCCGGCGGCGGCUCAGUCUCUGGCCCGGCGCGGUGCUGAGCACCACUGAGCCCUCAUCUUAGGGCACCGAGGCCCGGACUCCUGCAGCCGCAUGUCCAGGCCCCUCCUGCCUUAGCACGGAGCUCCCUUGACUGCUCCAAACAGCCCAGACUGGCGCCUUUUUUGGAUAAAUUAAAACGGGGCCAAUCCGUUGCCAGCGAUUGGCUAACGAUGGGUACACGACCUAGUACGGGCCAGGGAGAAGUAAGCGAGGUCUGUUGAGGCAGAGUUUCGGGAAAGAUCUUCUAGUUAAAAGGGGAGUUGGGUGGGUGGGGGCUGUUUUCUUCCUGUUGUCCUUGCCCAGUGUAAGUUUCCUGGAGCUGCAGCAGCCUUUUUGUCACCAUGAGGGCAGCUGGUGGGAACCCUAGGAAAGCAGGAAAUCACCUAGAGCCGGAACAGCCUGAGCCUCUGAACCAACCCACAGCUGACUACCCGUCACUUUGUCGUGUCUCUGUGAUUUGAGUCCAUCAUUCUGCUGCAGUUGAAGGUAUCCUUUGACAAAGCCCUGUUCUUAACCAUUAUGGUGAAACGCAUGAAUCCCUCUUCGGGCUAUUUGCUGCAUGAUCCUCAGCAAAUUAAAUAGUUAAUCUCCCUCAGUUUCCUCAUUUAUAAAGGAUAGGAUGAUAAAGCAUAGAGAUCGUGAGGAUUACAUGAGGCAUUUACCUAGAAGAUACUUAGAACAAUGCUGGACACAAACUAAGUACUUAACAAAUGUAACAUUUCUCCUAUUAGUUAGUACUCCUAAGACUAAUUAUGCCACCACUGAUUCACAGUCCCUUAUCAAAAACCUUUCAGGCCAGAUGUGUUUGUGAAAUUCAGAAUUUUUUGAAUGUUUAAAAAAGGUGAGAUAUAUUGUAUGCCCCCGUAGUCAAACAAUGUUUCUAUAGCAGAAAUGUGUGAGUAUUCACAAAUAUUCACCCUAAGUGGGAUAUAUAAAGGUUGUAAAUAGGGCCAGGCACAGUGGCUCAUGCUUGUAAUCCCAGUACUUUGGAAGGCCAAAGCGGGAGGAUUGCUUGAACCCAGGAGUUUGAGACCAGCCUCGGCAACACAGUGAGACCCCCGUCUCUACAAAAUAAAAAUAACAAAAUUAGCCGGGCACUAUGGCGCCCACCUGUAGUACCAGCUACUCAGAAGGCUGAGGUGGGAAGAUUGCUUGGGCCUGGAAGGUUGAGGCUGCAGUGAGUUGGCUGUGAUCACACCACAGCACUCCAGCCUGGCCAAUAGAGUGAGACCCUGUCUCAAAUAAAAUAAAUACAAUAAAUAAAUAAAGGUUGUAAAUAGUCUCAUAUCAGUUCAAAUGAGUUUACUCCAAGCGUGGGGAAAAACUAAUUUGGAGGACUUUCUGCAUUUCAGAAUUGAAAAUAAGGUAUGUUGUAGGCCUCUCAAAAUGCUUGUCUUGCAGUUUAGAUUAGAUGACUUGCUUUGUUACCCACUUUUGAUUCGCUGGCCUUUAUACUGAUGGCUGCUUUUCAGAUGUGUAUAAGAACAAAAUUUCAACAAAUUUAGUUUCAAAGAUCUGAUUGGUUUUUAAUAGCAUUGCAUGCACCAGG